rnacentral:rRNA from 1 species
UGGGGAAUAUUGCACAAUGGGCGCAAGCCUGAUGCAGCCAUGCCGCGUGUAUGAAGAAGGCCUUCGGGUUGUAAAGUACUUUCAGUCGGGAGGAAGGUGGUAAGGUUAAUAACCUUAUCAAUUGACGUUACCGACAGAAGAAGCACCGGCUAACUCCGUGCCAGCAGCCGCGGUAAUACGGAGGGUGCAAGCGUUAAUCGGAAUUACUGGGCGUAAAGCGCACGCAGGCGGUUGAUUGAGUCAGAUGUGAAAUCCCCGGGCUUAACCCGGGAAUUGCAUCUGAUACUGGUCAGGUAGAGUCUUGUAGGGGGGGGUAGAGUUCCAUGUGUAGCGGUGAAAUGCGUGGGGAUGUGGGGGAAUACCGGUGGCGAAGGCGGCCCCCUGGACAAAGACUGACGCUCAGGUGCGAAAGCGUGGGGAGCAAACAGG